rnacentral:lncRNA from 1 species
CCUGUUUCUGUACAACUUGUAAAGAGUUUGGACCUUAAGUUUUAACUAGGUUUGCUUGAGAAAGCGUUAUUCAUGCUAACUUCUUGUAGAUUUCUGUUUUUAACUGACUCUUGCAAGAAGAACAUGUGGAUUUAUCAGUCAAAACUGUUGAACAAUUAUGGCGGAUGGAAUGCAGUGUUAAAGGAAAAUAUUAAGAUAUUCAUCGUGACCUAGAAGGGGAUCCCAGCCUUGGAAUCAGUGUUCCAUGUUAUUGAUAAAAUACUUCCAGCACCUUCGUUCUGCUUGACAAAUUACUCCAGAAGAGUGGCAGUCACGGAAUGGAAGUUGAAUUUUUUGGAAGCAUCAUCUGGGCAGUGAGAAGAUGCCUGCACGGAUCACUCGUUCGUAGAUCACAGGGUCUUUGGGCCAAGGGACAAACUGUGUGGGCGAGACAGAAACGUCUUCACAGUCUUCUCAUAAGCAAUCAGGCUUGCUAUUUCCCAAGGUGACGCGAGGA